rnacentral:lncRNA from 1 species
CAGUCAGAUCUCUGGGCUGAGAGAGAUCCUGAGUUUGCCCCACCAUUGGAUUGCUUUGUGGGUCAGAAGAGAACUGGUUUAUCCAGCAGCCAGGCAUGGAGCAGGCCUGGGCCAGCACAGAGUGACCCAAGGCAGUGCCUUGACCAGAGCCACGGACCUAGCUCUGCACAUAAGUCCUGCCCCCGACAGCUGACAACAAGCCCCCACAGUCACUUUUUAAAUUCUGGAUGACGUGAUUUCCUAUUACAAACAAG